UAUCUUCCAGUAUAGAGAUCUAUAUGAUAAAAAUAUCUUUCUGGCCGGGCGUGGUGGCCCACGCCUAUAAUCCCAGCACUUUGGGAGGCUGAGGCAGACGGAUCAUGAGGUUGAGACCAUCCUGGCUAACACGGUGAAACCCCGUCUCUACUAAAAAUACAAAAAAUUAGCCAGGCGUGGUGGUGCCUAUAGUCCCAGCUGCUCAGGAAGCUGAGGCAGGAGAAUGGCGUGAACCCGGGAGGUGGUGCUUGCAGUGAGCCAAGAUUGCGCCACUGCACUCCAUCCUGGGCAACAGAGCGAGACUCUGUCUCAAAAAAAAAAUUUAUAUAUAUAUAUAUAUAUAUAUAAUUCUUUGUAGAAAUUAGCUCCCUAAAUACUUGGGGUUGGUGAAGGAGACCGGGGAUUUGGAAGACUUUUCUUAGGAGUCUUGUUUAGCAUUCAGAAGGGACUCAGGCCACACUGGGUUUCUAUUUUAGGUUGAAAGUUGUGGCUCCUCACUGCCCUUUUUACCCACAAUAAAUUGCAUAGCAAAUCAGUAAAAGCGAUGACUCAUCUCCUAAUCCUGCUCCUUAAAGGGGGAAACCAGAUGCUUGCAGUUCCCCAAGUGGUAGUGUUGAUCAUGCCAAGGUGAGGACCGUCGUUCCAUCCCUUGCAAAGUGAAUCAAAGUGAAUUGUAGCCAAACACAGAUAAGACCAGAGGGUGUCUGCACUGAGCAGUCCAGGAAGGAGGGGAGCUGCAGUGGCUGUCACCAGGCUGGGGACACGAGGAGGAAUUGCAGGUGAAAUCAGAUCCAGUUUCAACUUGAGGAAAAUUCAGCCCCGGGAGCUGCUGGUAGAGCCCAGACCUUGAUGCUAAGUCAUCUGCACAGAGAAUUCCGUGACAGAAAGGCCGUGGGUAGAGACGUGAAUGGAGGAAGUGGAGUAGAUGAAAUGGUUAAAUGUUGGAGAAAAGAGGCUAUUUAUGAAUAUGACCACUGUCAUUCAGAUAAAAUUUCUGGACUUUUAUCAUUGAAAAAAGUCUCAUUAUGUUUCUAUUUGAAAGCAAACCAUUAUGCUUUUUUGAGAAAAAAAAAAACUAUGAGUCACGUUAUGCUUGCAAGUGUUUAAUUCAGACCAUUUCAUCUUUAAGAAGGCCCCUGGUCACAUUAUACGGAUGAUUUGCUUAUUAAAUGGAAUUCCUGUUUCUUGCACGAUGUUGUGGGGUCAAUAUGAGAAGCCUAAUUAACAGAAUAAAAAGCAUUAAAGCUUCUUUUGCUAAAGUCAAACUUAGAGAAUUGUCUAAUGGUAUGUAGCCCCUCGUUCUGAGAUGGGCGUUUUCCCCAGAUAACUUGAAAAUCUACUGGUAACAGCCACUUCCCUUUAAAGAAUUCUAUUACUAAUAGCCAUGACAAAAUGGUAUUGUAUUUCAAAGUUAAGAAUUUGCAGGCCUUAAAAACUAACUUAUUUUUCCUGAUUAUUGAGUUUAUUGUAGAAUUCUGCGUGUAAGCAUUCCCCAGCCGCUAUAGCUUUGAAUAAGCAGAGCUUUUUUCAGAGUUCUGGUAGCGCCCAGCCCAGCACCUUUUAUUCUGAAUGUGAAGUGUGUGCCUCCGUGUCACAGAGUCACAGCCUCCCCAGGGACGCUGCGCGCGGAGCCCUGUCAGAGCAGCGCGUCAGUGACAGCGGCAGCCGAGCCAGGAAGUUAUCAGGCAGCCUCGACCACCACCAGAUUUGACUCCGCGAGCUCUUUUGAGGGAAAACCUGGUAAAGCGUCAAGGUGUCUAACUGACCUCGCCUUUAUCAUCUGUUCUGUAAAUCUUAGGAAAGGUCUGGGAAAAAAAUCAAAACGAUUCUGUCCGUUAAAGGGCAGCCACUCCUGGCCCUCCAGGAUGCCAGGGUCUGAGUGAUCCCGAGCUGAUCUGCAGAAGCACAGCCUGUGGCAUUUGCGGUUUAUUGUCAUGAAAAUGAUUCAACGUAGAACUUUUUCAAAUGGCAAAAUCAAACCGCUCUUCUUUAUAUUGUUUUUGAAUGAGUUGUCAUGGAAACAAAAUGGAAAUAAAUGGUGUUUUUUUUCCAGAUUUGUGCUCAUUGCAGGUCUUCCCAAAAUAGUAGCUUUACUGAAUGAAUAAAGAACUAAAAUGAAGGUCCCAAAUUCAUCGCUAAGGGGCCUCCACUAAAGAGCAUGACCCCUGGAGGGGCGCGGGUCUCAGGGUCCUCGUGGCCGCGUGUGGAUUAUGUCACCACAGGAGAGGAACGAGUCCUUUCCAGGCACAUGAGGAGGAGGAAUCAGUGUUAAUGGGUGGCUUUGCAUCUGUGAAAUCGCAUAAACUUAAGUUAGCUGAAGCUGUCGUGAGACUGGCAUUUCCGAAUUGGAUUGAAGGUUUCAGGCUUCAUGCCAGCGCACCACAGCCUGUUCCUGAGUAUCUGUGCUGAGAGGCUGUAAGAUUAGUGUGAACAGGAGAAAUUUCCAGGUCCCGCUCCCGGUCCCCUCGGAGGAGAGCCCACUCCCCUGAGAGACGGAGGGAAGAGAGGAGUGUGCCCACUGCCUACCGCGUGAGCAGCAGCCCUGGGGCCAGCAGGAAGCGGACCCGCUCCAGAAGUCCCCACGAGAAGAAGAAGAAGAGGCGGUCCCGGUCGCGGACCAAGUCCAAGGCCAGGUCUCAGUCGGUGUCACCCAGCAAGCAGGCAGCGCCCCGGCCCGCGGCCCCCGCGGCCCCCUCGGCGCACUCAGCCAGCGUCUCCCCUGUGGAGAGUCGGGGCUCCAGCCAGGAGCGCUCCAGGGGAGUCUCUCAGGAAAAAGAAGCCCAGAUCUCUUCAGCAAUCGUUUCUUCCGUGCAGAGCAAAAUCACUCAGGAUCUCAUGGCCAAAGUCAGAGCGAUGCUUGCAGCUUCCAAAAACCUGCAAACCAGCGCUUCCUGAGACGGGGCCAGCGGAGGCAGAGCCGGGAGGCUGCGUGGGCUUCUGGGCAGGCCACACCAUCCACCUGGCCGCCUCCGUGGACCCUUGGUGGCUUUUGUAAAUUAAUUUUUGAUGACAUUUUGAGUUUUAAGAUUUCUGACCAGCAGUCUCUUACCUGUAUAUUUGUAAAUAUAUCAUGUUUCUGUGAAAAUGUAUUAUGAAAUAAAAUGGGAGGAAACACCUUUUCUAGCUAG
rnacentral:sRNA from 1 species